GUUUAUGAUAUACUAUGGUGUUGUGUCACUAGACUUUGACCAGAUAUUAUUGCAUCCAAAGAUCAACUGUACCUAGAACAUAGAUACAGAGCCACUUGUCAUCAGGAAGCUGCUCCCUCAGCACAACGGAAAAUAUCUCAAUGACUUGACAUGUUCUGGUUGUGAAUUCAGGCUACAAGGGGACAGUGCUCUAAAAUGAGUCUCUCUGGGGAGAGAGAGGAGGGGGGCCCUGCCUCUAAAAUGAGUCUCUCUGGGGAGAGAGAGGAGGGGGGCCCUGCCUCUAAAAUGAGGCUCUCUGGGGAGAGAGAGGAGGGAGGCCCUGCCUCUAAAAUGAGUCUCUCUGAGGAACAUGACACCAAAGUUAAGAGUCCAAUCAAGCAGGAGAGACCAGCCUCCCCUGUACCCAGCUGUGUGUCCAUGAAGAGUGACCAGUCUAUGAAUCCUCCUAUAGAGUUUAGAGAGGGAGACUUU